ensembl:miRNA
UAUUGGGUUGGCCAAAAGGUUCAUUUGGGUUUUUCCAUAAGAUGUUCUAGAAAAACGCAAAUGAACUUUUUGGCUAAUGCAAU